UGGCUUUGUAUGUUCUAACAAGGA
rnacentral:siRNA from 1 species